rnacentral:lncRNA from 1 species
AGAGAUGAAAGCCAUCACUUGCUAUCUCCUGUUUACCUGUCUAUUUGAUCCAGGACCUCCUCUUGUAAGAUGCUCCCCACAUUCAGGGUGAGUCUUCCUUCUUCCAUUAAAUCUCCCUGGAAACAUCCUCACAGACUCACUGAGAGGUCUAUCCUGGGGUGAACCUAAACCCAGUCAAGUUUACAAUGAGCUUUAAUCAUUACAUCAUCAAAAACAGAAGUUGAAUGUGCUGCUUCCCCAAAUAAUGUUCACCUAGGCUACAUAGCACAGCCUUGUCUGAAAAAAAUGUACAUAAAUAAGUAAACAACAGCAAAAAGGUUUGUCGGUGGCACUUGGCCACAUGUUUUCUGGGAUUCAUAGACUUUCUUGGCUUGACCUACCUGUUAGGUCUCAAAUCCAGGACAAAUAGGCAACAAAGGUGCCUAUUAACAUGCUCAAGCUAGCUGGGCAGUGAUAGUGCACACCCUGCACGGCAGGAGAAUUUUUUAGUUUGAGGCCAGCCUGGUCUACAGAGUGAGUUUCAGGAUAGCAGGGGCUAUACAGAGAAACCCUGUCUCAAAAAAAAAAAAAAAAAAAAAAAAAAAAAAAAAAAAAACAAGCAAGAGAGAGAGAGAGAGAGAGAGAGAGAGAGUCCAUGCUCAAUCGAAUGCUAGCCAGUUCUUCUAAUAUCUCUCAGUCCCUACCUUACCUGGCUGCCUACCCUAAACUUCUGUAGCCCAGGGACUAGGUUAAGCUGUCCCUCCCCCAGUGGCCUUCCCCUACAAAACCCAGCCAUUUGAGUUUUGCAACCCUUCAGCUCUUUGGACCUUAUGGUUUCUUUGCCCCAUGACCUCUUGUCUCUCUUCCCUCUCCCUGUCCACCUCUCCUCACAUGGCUGAGUCCAGUGGGCUGGUCAUGUCCACCAUGGACUCUUCCAGGUGUCUCUGUGCUCCUUCUUAUAUCUAUAAUAAAAACCUCAACCCCUUAAGAGUAGUCAUAGCCUCCUUUUCAUUUCUUCUUUGCAUUCACUACCUAAAUAUCUACAACUCCCUUACAUCUUACAAAUUGCAACUGCCUUUGCAGUUUCGUGCAGCUACGCUUUUAUACAUCGAAGGAUUCUCCAGAAGAAGAAUCAAAACUUUAAGUCUGGAGUAAACGGAAGCAAUCCCCUAACAUGUGACAAAGACCCUGGGCAUCCUCUCUACUUUUACAUAGCCUGUGGCCUCCACUGUAGGCUGAGGUUCACUUGAUAACUCAGAGCACCAACAUCAAAUGGCCCAACAAGCAAGGCAGAAGCUCCAUGGUGAUUCCUAAGCCACAGGCAUCAUAUUUCUUCUGAGUCGUACCUGAUGGUCAUAGCAAUAGUAAUUCCACAGAGUCAAAGAUGGAGACACAGACACCACCUUCAAAUGGGGAGAGAGUGGAAGCAUGUGUGAGUGUAUUUCACAGCUGCUAUAGAACUGGGUGAGAGUCGGAGGUAGAAACAGAUGGAGCAGAACAGCGGUGCUUGCUUUCUUUUCCGCCCUGAUUAGUUAAGUGAAACCCAUUUAAAUAAACUUGACGGGGGAGGUACAAGAUGAUUCUCUAGCUAACUGCCUUAAAAAUUGUAAACUUUGUGCUUAACAUUUUUCCAUAUUUCAUUUUCAUUGGUUUUUUUAUGUUAUAUUAUUAUUGUUGAGACAGAGACCCCAUAUGUAGACCUGUCCUCAAAACCUCUAUCCUCCUGACUCAGCUUCAUGAGUGCUGGAACCAAGAAGCACGCCUCACAACACCUAGCUUUCUGCUUUGUUCUUAAGGGUUGAAGGCCAUCAAGCGGAUAUAUCAUGAGAAUUUAGUGAAAACUAAAUAGUUAACAAGAGGUAUUGAAGACUUAGGCCACAUUUAGUCAAUUCCAGCUUGAUGUAGAAAUGCCAUCAAAUGAAGCAAAAAACGUCCUUCGAGUCACAGUCAGCACUAGAGAGAAAAAGCAUAUUUUUCAUUGCUCCCUAAGAUAAAGGGGUAGCAUUUUCAUAAGAAGAAACUGUCAGAUGUUUAUUAAAUAAAUGAAGCAUAAAACAAGCUUUCCUGUCGUUCACCCAUGCUUGGAUUUUAAUAACUAGCAUUUAUCCUGUGAAUGGAGAGUUAUAUUUGUAUCCAAGAAGAAAGGCUCCCCAUUCUGCACUGGAGACUUCUAGCUUCUGAAAAGUCUCCAAUUACUGAGGAAAUGAGUAAUUUGCUCUGCCAUUUCACAGCAUUACCGCGCUCCUUUUGAUGUCGGUAUUGAUGGGGGUGCGAAGAGUCUGGACCUGGCAAAGGGAACACAACGGAGAAAGGGCCUCUUGCAGCUGGCAGGGGAGUGGGAGGGAGUUCCCGAUCCUGGCAGGUUAGAAGGAGACACAAGCUACAAGGUGCAUUCACCAGCAUGCUGUAAUGACCCAAGUGAUCCCUCUGCAUCAGGACGGGUUAAACAUCCUGAUAAAGACAAAUGAUGUAGGAGAUAGAACAGCCUUGGGGAAGUCCUCCCCUGUCUUGAUAACAAUGCAAUCCAGUCCACACGUCAUGUAGAGGAGCAGAAGAUCUCCGCUAACUGAACACUGGCAUUCAGAAAGUGAACUGGAAGUCUGCUGACAACAUCCCGGCCUCUAUAUAGGUCAGGAAGUACAGUGUUAGCAGAAUUUUUUUUCCAAUUUAAAAAGUAGGGGGAAACUGGGAACUGUGAAGAAGGCAACAGAUGCUCAAGAUGGUGAAUUGGCAUCUGCCUGUGUCCAGACUUUCCCUGUGGGGAAUAAAAAUUUCAGAAACCAGAGCUUUGUAUUGACAGCAGCCUUUGUGAAACUCUGAGCCUGACUGAAUACUGUAGCUUUGGACCUCAAGCACACAAUGGUUUUCAAGUUAGUUUUUGUGCGCCGACACCCAGGAUAACCGUUCUCAGGAAGGCUGGCUCCACAGAAUGUCCACAGCUCACAGAGCAGUCUAGGGGAAGUGUGAGGAGGAAACAGACCCAACAAUGAAGUGACUUACUGAUCUAGAAAUGAAGCCAUAUCCAGGCUCACUGCUGCUCAUCCAGGAAACAUCGCAGGCACUCUGAGAAAGCCAAGUGGGCAGAAGAACAAUGCUCAGGGUUCAGGCCUAUAAACCCAAGGAUUGCUGUGUCCUCAUUAUUAUUGCUACAUGACUUUCAGGGUUUGUACCAUUUAAACCACACGAAGGAUUCAUAAACCAAUUACUCUGCACUCAUUGUCAUGGUAUCUAAUAUGGUCUCUAUAUGAGACAUGAGAAAAAUCUGUGGCCACUUAAAAAUU